GUCGAACGCUGGCGGCGUGCUUAACACAUGCAAGUCGAACGGAAAGGCCCCCUUGUGGGGUACUCGAGUGGCGAACGGGUGAGUAACACGUGAGUAACCUACCCUUGACUUUGGGAUAACUUCAGGAAACUGGGGCUAAUACCGGAUAGGAGCUCCUGCUGCAUGGUGGGGGUUGGAAAGUUUCGGCGGUUGGGGAUGGACUCGCGGCUUAUCAGCUUGUUGGUGGGGUAGUGGCUCACCAAGGCUUUGACGGGUAGCCGGCCUGAGAGGGUGACCGGCCACAUUGGGACUGAGAUACGGCCCAGACUCCUACGGGAGGCAGCAGUGGGGAAUAUUGCACAAUGGGCGGAAGCCUGAUGCAGCAACGCCGCGUGCGGGAUGACGGCCUUCGGGUUGUAAACCGCUUUCGCCUGUGACGAAGCGUGAGUGACGGUAAUGGGUAAAGAAGCACCGGCUAACUACGUG
rnacentral:rRNA from 1 species